AUUGAACGCUAGCGGGAUGCUUUACACAUGCAAGUCGAACGAGUGGCGGACGGGUGAGUAAUAUAUCGGAAGUGCCCAGUAGAGGGGGAUAACUACUCGAAAGAGUGGCUAAUACCGCAUAAUAUUGGAGGGCCGAUAUGGGAUUAGAUAGUAGGUGAGGUAAUGGCUCACCUAGGCGACGAUCCCUAGCUGGUCUGAGAGGAGGAGCAGCCACCCUGGGACUGAGACACGGCCCAGACUCCUACGGAGGCAGCAGUGGGGAAUAUUGCACAAUGGGCGCAAGCCUGAGGCAGCCAUGCCGCGUGUAUGAAGAAGGCCCUAGGGUUGUAAAGUACUUUCAGUCGGGAGGCGUUACCGACAGAAGAAGCACCGGCUAACUCCGUGCCAGCCGCCGCGGUAAUAC
rnacentral:rRNA from 1 species